CCUGCGCUUUUGGCUGCACACCCGAUAAAUAAAUGAAAUGUGCUGAACCCCUGUCCUCUAUCUUGUGGUUGUAGGUGCGUGUUUGGCAGGGUUUUACUGUUCUGGGGGUGCAGACAGCCCAGCGCCCCGUGCCAACCCAUCCUUGUUCAGCAGUCUGAUCCGGGCGUUGGCAGAUAAUACCACAGCGCUGGAGUACUUAUGGACCCGCAAUCAUUCCUGCUUCAACUGCCCUGAUGUCUGUGGUCCAGCUGGAUGGGGAAAUGAGAGCAUGCAGUCAAUGAGGGUUUCUGACCUCCUAUUCAGCCAGCUGAUGCUCUGUCUCAAGGCUUCGGCUCCCGCUUCAAUUACACACAAGGGAGACAUCUGCCCCAGGGGUUUCUACUGUCCGUCAGGGUCUUCCCAGCCGCGGCCCUGUGACGCAGGCUCUUACUGUAACACCACGGGGCUGGCUGCCCCGGGGGGUCUCUGCGGGGCAGGCUACCACUGUACCAGGGGCUCCGCGGACCCCCACGCCCUCCCGUGCCCUGCCGGACACUACUGCCCCCGGGGAAGCCCCGAGCCCCUGCCCUGCCCCGUCGGAACCA